rnacentral:rRNA from 1 species
UGCACGGGAAGAAUGGCCCCCUCGUGAGGGGGUUUGACGGUACCGUACGAUAAGGAUCGGCUAACUCCGUGCCAGCAGCCGCGGUAAUACGGAGGAUCCAAGCGUUAUCCGGAUUUACUGGGUUUAAAGGGUGCGUAGGCGGGCGCUUAAGUCAGCGGUGAAAGGCAGCGGCUCAACCGUUGAAUUGCCGUUGAAACUGGGCGCCUUGGAUUCGGUCGAGGCCGGCGGAAUGCGUGGUGUAGCGGUGAAAUGCUUAGAUAUCACGCGGAACGCCGAUUGCGAAGGCAGCUGGCCAGACCGAGAUCGACGCUGAGGCACGAAAGCGUGGGGAUCAAACAGGAUUAGAUACCCUGGUAGUCCACGCCGUAAACGAUGAUCACUGGAUGCCGGCGAUACACCGUCGGUGUCUGAGCGAAAGCAUUAAGUGAUCCACCUGGGGAGUACGAUCGCAAGGUUGAAACUCAAAGGAAUUGACGGGGGCCCGCACAAGCGGAGGAACAUGUGGUUUAAUUCGAUGAUACGCGAGGAACCUUACCUGGGCUAGAACGCCGAGCGCAUAUGGGGGAAACCCCAUAGCCAGCAAUGGCGGUCGGCGAGGUGCUGCAUGGUUGUCGUCAGCUCGUGCCGUGAGGUGUCGGGUUAAGUCCCAUAACGAGCGCAACCCCUACUGUUAGUUGCCAGCGGAUCAUGCCGGGGACUCUAACGGAACUGCCAGCGUAAGCUGUGAGGAAGGUGGGGAUGACGUCAAAUCAGCACGGCCCUUACGUCCAGGGCUACACACGUGUUACAAUGGCCGGUACAGAGGGCAGCCACCCCGCGAGGGGGCGCGAAUCCUCAAAGCCGGUCCCAGUUCGGAUCGGAGUCUGCAACCCGACUCCGUGAAGCUGGAUUCGCUAGUAAUCGCGCAUCAGCCACGGCGCGGUGAAUACGUUCCCGGGCCUUGUACACACCGCCCGUA